rnacentral:rRNA from 1 species
AAAGGAAGUUGACGGGGCCCGCACAAGCGGUGGAGCAUGUGGUUUAAUUCGAUGCAACGCGAAGAACCUUACCUGGGCUUGACAUCCCGGGAAUCCCCUGGAAACAGGGAGUGCCCUUCGGGAACCCGGUGACAGGUGCUGCAUGGCUGUCGUCAGCUCGUGUCGUGAGAUGUUGGGUUAAGUCCCGCAACGAGCGCAACCCUUAUCCCUAGUUGCCAUCAGGUAAAGCUGGGAACUCUGGGGAGACUGCCGGUGAUAAACCGGAGGAAGGCGGGGAUGACGUCAAGUCCUCAUGGCCCUUACAUCCCGGGCUACACACGUGCUACAAUGGCAGGUACAGAGGGCUGCGAAGCCGCGAGGUGGAGCGAAUCCCAGAAAACCUGUCUCAGUCCGGAUUGAAGUCUGCAACUCGACUUCAUGAAGGCGGAAUCGCUAGUAACCGCGAAUCAGCAGGUCGCGGUGAAUACGUUCCCGGGCCUU